rnacentral:rRNA from 1 species
UACAGAGGUCCCAAGCGUUGUUCGGAUUCACUGGGCGUAAAGGGUGCGUAGGUGGCCGUGUAAGUCUGAUGUGAAAGCUUCGAGCUUAACUCGAAAAUGGCAUUGGAUACUAUAUUGCUGGAGGUUUGGAGGGGGGACUGGAAUUCUCGGUGUAGCAGUGAAAUGCGUAGAUAUCGAGAGGAACACCUGCGGCGAAGGCGGGUUGCUGGGCUGACACUGACGCUGAUGCGCGAAAGCUAGGGGAGCGAACGGG